ACACGUGGCAGUUAAAUUAGACAAACAUAACAAUAAAUUGCCAAAUCAUAUAUCCAAAAGGACCCAAACAUGCCUCACUGUUUUCAACACAUAAAUCGCGAUUGGAACCCUAAUCUCUUAAAAUAGGCCGCUUCGAAGGUGAAUUUUAGUAUAUCGCGAUUGUUGUUUCUUUUUUUUCGCCUUUACUGGGCAUGUCAUUUUUGAGUGAAAACGGUGAGGCAUGUUUGGGUCCUUUUGGAUAUAUGAUUUGGCAAUUCAUUGUUAUGUUUGUCUAAUUUAACUGCCAC
rnacentral:lncRNA from 1 species